GACGAACGCUGGCGGCGUGCUUAACACAUGCAAGUCGAACGGAAAGGCCCUGCUUUUGUGGGGUGCUCGAGUGGCGAACGGGUGAGUAACACGUGAGUAACCUGCCCUUGACUUUGGGAUAACUUCAGGAAACUGGGGCUAAUACCGGAUAGGAGCUCCUGCUGCAUGGUGGGGGUUGGAAAGUUUCGGCGGUUGGGGAUGGACUCGCGGCUUAUCAGCUUGUUGGUGGGGUAGUGGCUUACCAAGGCUUUGACGGGUAGCCGGCCUGAGAGGGUGACCGGCGACAUUGGGACUGAGAUACGGCCCAGACUCCUACGGGAGGCAGCAGUGGGGAAUAUUGCACAAUGGGCGGAAGCCUGAUGCAGCAACGCCGCGUGCGGGAUGACGGCCUUCGGGUUGUAAACCGCCUUCGCCUGUGACGAAGCGUGAGUGACGGUAAUGGGUAAAGAAGCACCGGCUAACUACGUG
rnacentral:rRNA from 1 species